GUGCGAGCAAACAUAAUUUAUUUUUCAAAAUGUAAAUAAUCAGUACUAGAAAAAAAACUGGACUCUGUUUGAAUUUUAAGUAGGACGUAAGAUAAGGAUAAGGUCGACAUUUAGUAUUACAACACAGAACAGUAAAAUGUCAAA